rnacentral:tRNA from 1 species
CGUGAGGUGGAGAAGUGGUAUCUCACCGGGCUCAUAACCCGGGGAUCGUAGGUUCGAAUCCUACCCUCGCAA